rnacentral:tRNA from 1 species
ACUCACAUAGCUCAGCAGGUUAGAGCAGGAAUCUUAUACAUUCAAGGUCAGGGGUUCAAAUCCCUUUGUGAGUA